rnacentral:rRNA from 1 species
GUAGUUUAACCUUCGGGGGGACGCUUACCACUUUGUGGUUCAUGACUGGGGUGAAGUCGUAACAAGGUAGCGCUAGGGGAACCUGGCGCUGGAUCACCUCCUUAAACGAUGAU